rnacentral:rRNA from 1 species
AACGAACGCUGGCGGCAGGCUUAACACAUGCAAGUCGAGCGCAUCCUUCGGGGUGAGCGGCAGACGGGUGAGUAACGCGUGGGAACGUACCCUUUCCUACGGAAUAGCUCCGGGAAACUGGGAUUAAUACCGUAUACGCCCUUAGGGGGAAAGAUUUAUCGGGGAAGGAUCGGCCCGCGUUGGAUUAGCUAGUUGGUGGGGUAAAGGCCUACCAAGGCGACGAUCCAUAGCUGGUCUGAGAGGAUGAUCAGCCACAUUGGGACUGAGACACGGCCCAGACUCCUCCGGGAGGCAGCAGUGGGGAAUAUUGGACAAUGGGCGCAAGCCUGAUCCAGCCAUGCCGCGUGAGUGAUGAAGGCCUUAGGGUUGUAAAGCUCUUUCAGUAGGGAAGAUAAUGACGGUACCUACAGAAGAAGCCCCGGCUAACUUCGUGCCAGCAGCCGCGGUAA